CAGCAGCCGCGCGGGAAUACGUAGGGUGCAAGCGUUAAUCGGAAUUACUGGGCGUAAAGCGUGCGCAGGCGGUUAUAUAAGUCAGAUGUGAAAUCCCCGGGCUCAACCUGGGAACUGCAUUUGAGACUGUAUGGCUAGAGUGUGUCAGAGGGGGGUAGAACUCCACGUGUAGCAGUGAAAUGCGUAGAUAUGUGGGGGAAUACCGAUGGCGAAGGCAGCCCCCUGGGAUAACACUGACGCUCAUGCACGAAAGCGUGGGGAGCAAACAGGAUUAGAUACCCCCGUAGUCCCUGUCUCUUAU
rnacentral:rRNA from 1 species